rnacentral:sRNA from 1 species
GCCGAGCAUGGUGGCGCAUACCUGUAAUCCCAGCCAUUUGGGAGGCUGAGACAGGAGGAUUGCAAGUUCAAGGCCAGCCCCAGCAACUGAGCAAGACCCUUGAGCAACUUAGCAAGAGCCUGUCUCAA